UAUUGGACAAUGGCCGCAAGGCUGAUCCAGCCAUGCCGCGUGCAGGAUGAAGGUGCUCUGCAUUGUAAACUGCUUUUGUUCGGGAAUAAACCCCUCUACGUGUAGAGGGCUGAAUGUACCGAAAGAAUAAGGGUCGGCUAACUUCGUGCCAGCAGCCGCGGUAAUACGAAGGACCCGAGCGUUAUCCGGAUUUAUUGGGUUUAAAGGGUGCGUAGGCGGAAUAUUAAGUCAGUGGUGAAAGCCUUCAGCUUAACUGGAGAAUUGCCAUUGAUACUGAUGUUCUUGAGUAUGAUUGAGGUGGGCGGAAUGUGUCAUGUAGCGGUGAAAUGCUUAGAUAUGACACAGAACACCGAUUGCGAAGGCAGCUCACUAAGCCAAUACUGACGCUGAUGCACGAAAGCGUGGGGAGCAAACAGG
rnacentral:rRNA from 1 species